AUAGCCGGCUGUGUCACAAAGCCAUAUGUGCAUUUUGGACACACAAUGAUUCAAAUGAACCAGGACCUCUGUUUCGUUUAGAUUUCGACAAUUACAAACCACUUUGAGUUUCAUCCAUGGCUACCAAGAAUCUCAAAGUUUUUCAUGUUCUCACGUUAUUCUGCUUUCUUCUUUUACGUUGUGCAAACUCACUGAACUAUCCCGCCGUUUUCAACUUUGGUGAUUCCAACUCCGACACCGGCGAGCUCACUGCCGGCAUCGGUUUCCGGCUUCCUUAUCCAUAUGGAGAGCUUUACUUCAAUGCUUCGUUGUCAUCCGGUGGGAGGUUUUCCGAUGGCCGUCUCAUCAUAGAUUUUCUCAUGGGGGCAAUGAAUCUUCCAUUUCUAAAUCCCUAUUUGGAUUCAGCUGGCCUCCCAAGUUUCCGAAAUGGGUGCAAUUUUGCUGCUGGAGGGGCUACUACACAUCCAGCAACUGCAACAUCUGUCUGCCCCUUUUCAUUUGGGGUUCAGGUAUCUCAGUUUUUGCGAUUCAAGGCUCGUGCUCUUCAAUUGCUAGCUGCUAAAGGUAAGGAUUUUGAGAAUUAUCUACCCUCGGAAGAUUCCUUUCAGAAGGGGCUGUAUGUGUUUGACAUAGGCCAAAAUGAUCUUGCUGGUGCAUUUUAUUCUAAAACACUGGAUCAGAUUCUUGCUUUUAUUCCAACUAUUUUGGCACAGUUCCAGUUAGGAAUACAGAAAUUAUAUGAUCAAGGUGCUAGGAACUUUUGGAUACACAACACAGGUCCUCUAGGGUGCUUGACUCAGAAUGUAGCCAAAUUUGGAACGAACACAUCAGAGCUUGAUGAGCACGGAUGUGUUAGCGCACACAACCAAGCAGCUAAAACUUUCAACCUGCAGCUUCAUGAUCUCAGUAAAAAGUUGCAAGGCCAAUAUUCUGAUGCAAAUGUCACAUAUGUUGAUAUCUUCUCUAUAAAAUAUGACCUCAUUGCAAAUUAUUCUCAAUAUGGUUAGUACAUCUUGGUACCUUAAAUAACUCUGCCUUUGGACUUGCUGUUUCAGUUUACAUAUUUGAUUGUGAAUGAAUUUAUUCUGCAGGGUUUCAACAACCUAUUAUGGCUUGCUGUGGGUAUGGAGGUCCGCCUUUGAACUACAACAGUCGGGUUUCUUGUGGAUCAACAAGGAUCUUGAAUGGCACAUUGGUCACAUCCAAAGGGUGUAGCAAUAGUUCUGUGUAUGUUAAUUGGGAUGGAAUUCAUUACACACAGGCUGCAAAUCAGUUUGUAUCAUCAAAGAUCCUCACGGGAAAGUAUUCUGAUCCUCCAUUGUCAGACAACAUUUUCUUUUCUCUGAAGUUGUGA